rnacentral:rRNA from 1 species
GACGAACGCUGGCGGCGUGCUUAACACAUGCAAGUCGAGCGAGGCCCAUCCUUCGGGGUGGUGCCCUAGCGGCGAACGGGUGAGUAACACGUGGGCAACCUGCCCUCAGCUCUGGGAUAACUCCAAGAAAUUGGUGCUAAUACCGGAUGUGACCGCUGACCGCAUGGUCUGGUGGUGGAAAGAUUCAUCGGCUGAGGAUGGGCCCGCUGCCUAUCAGCUUGUUGGUGGGGUAAUGGCCCACCAAGGCGACGACGGGUAGCCGGCCUGAGAGGGUGACCGGCCACACUGGGACUGAGACACGGCCCAGACUCCUACGGGAGGCAGCAGUGGGGAAUAUUGCGCAAUGGGCGAAAGCCUGACGCAGCGACGCCGCGUGAGGGAUGACGGCCUUCGGGUUGUAAACCUCUUUCAGUAGGGACGAAGCGAAAGUGACGGUAUCUACAGAAGAAGCACCGGCCAACUACGUG